rnacentral:rRNA from 1 species
AUACGGAGGGUGCAAGCGUUACUCGGAAUCACUGGGUGUAAAGCGCGCGCAGGCGGGCUGAUAAGUUGGAUGUGAAAGCCUACGGCUCAACCGUAGAACUGCAUCCAAAACUGUCAGUCUAGAGUGUGGGAGAGGAAGAUGGAAUUAGUUGUGUAGGGGUAAAAUCCGUAGAGAUAACUAGGAAUACCAAAAGCGAAGGCAAUCUUCUGGAACACUGCUGACGCUGAGGCGCGAAGGCGUGGGGAGCAAACAGGAUUAGAUACCCCUGUAGUCC